rnacentral:lncRNA from 1 species
UAUAUAUAUAUAUAUAUAUAUAUAUAUAUAUAGUCCGGCCGGGAUACUAUCGAUAGCAUCAAGGAUUUCAUGCUAUCGACUUUUUUACUGUUAGAUUUAACCCUUUGAUUAUUUUUACCCGUUAGAUUAUACUAUUCAACCAACCACUCACUCAACCCUAGGAGGCCACAUCAUUCUAAUCACACAUUUCUCAAUCCAAGAGCUAAAAAACUAAUAGCACCAAUAGCUUGGUGCUAUUGAUAGUAUUCCAACCUAGUUCAAUAUAUAUAUAGUGAAAAAUAUGUC